ACGUGCAGGCGGUUUCGUAAGUCGGACGUGAAAGCUCCUGGCCUUAACUGGGAGAGGCCGUUCGAUACUGCGGGACUUGAGGUCGGGAGAGGGACGUGAAAUUCCCGGUGUAGUGGUGGAAUGCGUAGAUAUCGGGAGGAACACCAGUGGCGAAGGCGGCGUCCUGGCCCGUACCUGACGCUAAGACGCGAAAGCGUGGGUAGCGAACG
rnacentral:rRNA from 1 species